rnacentral:lncRNA from 1 species
UGAAGCUUGCAGGCCACGGUGACUGGCUCCAUGCUGCCUUGGGAAGCCCUACAUGACCUCUACAUGGUCCUUCUUCAGUAUGUGAAGUACAGAGGCAACACCAGGACAUUUUGAAGGGCAAAAGAAGGUUCAAUGGGGCAAUUUCCAAGGCAUCUUGCUCCACUGCUGGUAAGCAAUUAGCAGGCUUUCUACAGGGACUUCUCAAAAGAGGAUCCAGAAGGCAGGCUCAGCAUUGCAGCCUGGCUGCAGGCCACAGUGUGGCAGACGCAUGUAUUCAUGGGCAUGUCAAAUACAUCACUUCAAUACGAAAUUCAUAGGCCCAACAUUCAUCUGCGAGAUUGAACACUGGGUAGCUCAAAAGCUAGUCUUCUGAAAGCAUCCUACAAAACACCCGAAGUUGCCGUUCCAGAAUUGCUAUAAUUUCACGACUGUGCAAGCUGUACUAGUAGUACACAGGCAAAGGGAUAGAAAAAAGAUUAUAUUAAUGCUCAAGGGGGAAAAGCAAGAUUAUAAAGGACUUAGCAGAGCUAUGUUCUGAUAAUAAACCAAGAGCAUUUAGGACCCAACCUAGAAAAAAAUGGAUUUACAGCCGAAGUCUUUCCUGUUUGGGGCUACAGCAUCAUUCUGUCAUUCUAACCACAUUUAUCCUGAACCUCCCCCCACCACCCGCUGCCCAUGUGCUGGCCACCGUGCUGGGAUCAACAAAACUGAAUGAGACACAGGACCUGAUACUGGGGAGCUGACCAUCUAGCAGGUGACGUAUGGAUGGAUGAAGCAUCUUAGGACAUCUAAAGAAAGAGAUCACUCCUCCAUACUGAUCCUAAAGUUGACCUCCAGAUAACAUUCUGUCACAUGCAUGUGCACCAGAGAUGGGGAGAACACACAGAAUGGGAAGAACCACAACUGUUUAGGUGCAUGAAUUCUACAAUUUGUAAAAACUCAUUGUUUUUCACCUAGUAUAUGUAAGAAUUGAAUAAUAACACAGAGAAAUAAAUUCUAGCAUUAAAGAAUAAACCAGAAAUCUCCUUAAAGGAACACAAGUAACAAAGCCUGGCAGGGGUGGGAAACAGCAGAAAUUACCACAUUUUGCUUGGAUCUUGAAAAUUGUGAAUUCUCAGUGAAGUCCAAUUUUCACUUUUUAAUAAUGGAGCUCUAUAACAUCUUAAAACUCUGGGUUUAUGUAUUUUUAUUAUCAACUCUAUAAAUUCAAUAAAGAAGUGGAGUAAAGGUUCAGGACAAGAAGAAGGAGAAAAGAACAGUUAAAAAUUUGGGAAAUACUAGCACUUCAUUCUUUACCAAGUUGUCACUCUAUCACUGCAAGCGUGAGGAUUGGUGAAAAGUAUUAAGCAGACUAAGAUUGCACCCCAGAGAGCCCAGGCUUAUACAACCAGCACACUUCCCCCACUAACUGACAUACUCAACUAAUAACUACUGAAUGUUGCCCAUUGGCCAGCCGCAUCCAACCCUUAUCCCACUGCAUCCUCAAAUCUGCCACCUUACAGAUGAAGAAAUGGAAAUGUAAACAAGUUAGGUGACUAAGAACAGAGUGUAAUGAGCAUCGUGGUUGACUCCCUGCCAUUCAUGCACAUCAUGCUAAUAUAAAGUAAUCAGGCUACAUGAUCCCCAGCCAAGAAUGAGUUCAAGAAUAUUCCUGGGACAUAUUUCUGCUGGAAGUCUCCCAGGGAAAGUUUCCCUUUCCUGAGAGCGGGCUCCCCAGUCAGAGAUCUCUCUCUUCUGGUCUAGCAACAAUGUGAAUGCAUUCUGCUCCCGAGGAGAAUAACACCGAGGAUGGCAAACAGGCAAGGGGGAAAGAUGGCAAGCGUCCUUGAUGACACCACUUAGCUGCCAACCCCACCAACCCACAGCUAGCCCAACUUCUGGACUUCGUGUUAUGAGAUAAUAAAUUUCCUAAGCAUCUGUGCUGGGAUGAGUCAGGUUCUCUUUCAUUUUCAUCAAAAGCAUCUUGGCUGAUACAAAAAGCCAGGAUCCAAACCCAGGUCUGUGUGAUUACCAAGAACCUACUCAUUCCAAGAGUUUUCUAGUCUGUCUCUGGUAUGCAUAAAGUCCCGAAGGGUUUCCAAGUCAACAGCUGCAGUGGUCCUGGAGUCAGACAGACUUGGACUAAAUCCCAGAUCUGCCACUAAUUAGCUGGGUGAUUGUGGGCAAAUUACCUCUCCUUUUUAUGCCUGUUACCUCAUCUGAAAAAUGGGGAUAAUCAUUGCACCUGCCACAAAGAGCUGUUUGAAGACCAAAGGAAAUUUCCACACAGUCGGUGCUCAGUGAUCAUUAGUUUUCAUGAGCAGGGGAACUGAAUGAUUUUUGGUGGCUAGAUUCUUUUGAUCAGAAUCUUUGUAAUGUUUUGAAUAGAGUAACAUUUACUUUCUCCUGACA